AUUUGAUGAUGUGGGCAUUGUAUUUCAAGAUCAUUAAAUCUAUCCCAAGCUUCGUAAAAUUCUUCAUUAGAUUUUUGUCUACAAGUUUGAAUUUUAUUUCUAAUAUC
rnacentral:snoRNA from 1 species